rfam:Pleurotus ostreatus PC15 unplaced genomic scaffold scaffold_11, whole genome shotgun sequence.
GGCCAGAUAGCUCAGAUGGUUAGAGCGUCUGGAAAGCAUCCAGGAGGUCCUUGGUUCAAACCCUAGUCUGGCCA